rnacentral:rRNA from 1 species
GACGAACGCUGGCGGCGUGCUUAACACAUGCAAGUCGAACGGUGAAACGCCUAGCUUUUUGGUGGGUGGGGAGCGGUGGCCAACGGGGUAGUAACACGAUAGUAACCUGCUCCCUCCUGCUGGAUAACGGCAUGAAAGUGUGGCUAAUACGGGAUAUGCUGGACCUGUCGCAUGAUGGGUCUGUGACAGAUUUUGUUUCGGUGGGGGAUGGGCUCGCGGCGGAUUAGCUUGUUGGUGGGGUGACGGCCUACCAAGGCGGCGAUGCGUAGCCGGCCUGAGAGGAUGGUCGGCCGCACUAGAAGGGAGACACGGUCCAGACUACUACGGGAGGCAGCAGUAGGGAAUAUUGUUGAAUGGUCGGAAGACUGAUGCAGCAACGCCGCGUGGGUGAGGAAGGACUUCUGCUGGUAAUGCACCUCUUUUGGGAGAGAAGAAGGGCUGCCUCAUUUGUGGGUGUGUUGACGGUACCUAAAGAAGAAGCGCCGGCUAACUACGUG